GAUGAACGCUGGCGGCGUGCCUAAUACAUGCAAGUCGAGCGAAGCGGGGACGGGUGAGUAACACGUGGAUAACCUCCUAUAAGACUGGGAUAACUUCGGGAAACCGGAGCUAAACCGGAUACUUAUAGAUGGAUCCGCGCUGCAUUAGCUAGUUGGUAAGGUAACGGCUUACCAAGGCAACGAUGCAUAGCCGACCUGAGAGGGUGCUCGGCAAAACGGGAACGGAGAACCGGCCCAGACGCCGACGGGAGGCAGCAGGAGGGAAUUGUCCGAAAGGGGCGAAAGACUGAGGAAGAAACGCGGCGUGAGUGAAGAAGGGCUUGGGAUCGUAAAACUCUUUUAUUAGGGAAGCGGACCCUAAUCAGAAAGACACGGCAAACUACGGGCCAGCAGCCGCGGGAAUUC
rnacentral:rRNA from 1 species